rnacentral:rRNA from 1 species
AUUGAACGCUGGCGGCAUGCUUUACACAUGCAAGUCGAACGGUAACAGGCCCUCGGGUGCUGACGAGUGGCGAACGGGUGAGUAAUGCAUCGGAACGUACCCAGAGGUGGGGGAUAACGCAGCGAAAGCUGUGCUAAUACCGCAUGUGAUCUGAGGAUGAAAGCGGGGGACCGAGCAGCAAUGUUUGGCCUCGCGCCUUUGGAGCGGCCGAUGUCGGAUUAGCUAGUUGGUGGGGUAAAGGCCUACCAAGGCGACGAUCCGUAGCUGGUCUGAGAGGACGACCAGCCACACUGGGACUGAGACACGGCCCAGACUCCUACGGGAGGCAGCAGUGGGGAAUUUUGGACAAUGGGCGCAAGCCUGAUCCAGCAAUGCCGCGUGCGGGAAGAAGGCCUUCGGGUUGUAAACCGCUUUUGGCAGGAACGAAACGGUGUCCGCUAAUACCGGGCGCUAAUGACGGUACCUGCAGAAUAAGCACCGGCUAACUACGUG